rnacentral:rRNA from 1 species
GACGAAGGGGGCUAGCGUUGUUCGGAAUUACUGGGCGUAAAGCGCGUGUAGGCGGUUGCCAUAGUCAGGUGUGAAAGCCUUGAGCUUAACUCAAGAAAUGCACUUGAUACUGGGCGACUAGAGGACCGGAGAGGAUAGUGGAAUUCCCAGUGUAGUGGUGAAAUACGUAGAGAUUGGGAGGAACACCAGUGGCGAAGGCGGUUGCCUGGAGCUUUGCUGACGCUGAGGCGCGAAAGCGUGGGGAGCGAUCCGG